UAGUCCAUGCCGUCAACUAUGAGAGCUCAUCUUAGAAAAACUGAGAUUUAGUUAACACGUUAAGCUCUUCGCCAGGGAAGUACGGUCGCAAGACUAAAACUCAAAGGAAUUGACGGGGGCCCGCACAAGCGGUGGAUUAUGUGGUUUAAUUCGAAGCAACGCGCAGAACCUUACCUAGGCUUGAAAUCCCUCGAAUCCCGAGUAAUUUUGGGAGUGCCCGCAAGGGAAUGAGGUGACAGGUGCUGCAUGGCUGUCGUCAGCUCGUGUUGUGAAAUGUUGGGUUAAGUCUCGCAACGAGCGCAACCCCUAUCUUUAGUUGCCAGCAUUAAGUUGGGCACUCUAGAGAGACUGCCCGGGUUAACCGGGAGGAAGGUGGGGAUGACGUCAAGUCCUCAUGGCCCUUAUGCCUAGGGCUACACACGUAAUACAAUGGUGCAUACAGAGGGAAGCGAUCGGGUGACCGUUAGCAAAUCUCAAAAAGUGCAUCUCAGUCCGGAUUGGAGUCUGCAA
rnacentral:rRNA from 1 species